UCCGAUAUGGUCUAGUGGCUAGGAUACCUGGCUCUCACCCUCACGCUCGGGUUCGAUUCCCGGUAUCGGAA
rnacentral:tRNA from 1 species